UCUACGGGCGGCAGCAGUGGGGAAUCUUGUGCAAUGCGCGAAAGCGUGACGCAGCAACGCCGCGUGAGGGAAGAAGGCCUUAGGGUUGUAAACCUCUUUCAGUUGGGACGAAGGUCGGCACGUUAAUAGCGUGUCCGACUGACGGUACCUUCACAAGAAGCCCCGGCUAACUACGUGCCAGCAGCCGCGGUAAUA
rnacentral:rRNA from 1 species